rnacentral:sRNA from 1 species
UUGACUCAAAUGAAACAAAUGGUGCUGCCACUGGACAUGAAAUAAUUCAAGUUGAUAUGGAAUUGGAUAGUAAUCAAACAGUUCAAAACCCAUUAUAUUCAAAUCAAUACAACUUUGAAAAAGCUCAGUGGACAGAAGUGAAAAGAAUGAUUGAAAAGUUGAAAUUAGAGAAUAGAGAAACUCUUUAUUGGAAAUCAGAUACAAAUCUUACAGAUAAAAUGCUUGAAGACAGAGCAAAUUUAAUCACUGAGAUUAUUCUUUCAAGUAUAAAGAAAUAUAUUCCAUUGAAAAGAGUCUCUGAAUUCUCUAAGCCUUGGUGGAAUGAUGAG